AGAUGAUGGCAGCUAUUUAAUUCUGAGCCACAUCCCUCCGAAGCGGAAUGAGCGAGAAGCAGAGAAAGAAUGAAACCGCACUGCAAGGAGAGCUGAUGAGAUUCUUAAAGAAGCAGAACAGAUGUUAAUAAGUCAUUUGAUUCAACGCAGUCUUGCAGCUAAUGUAGGAGCUCAUCAUGAAGUUGUGCUUCCCAUUCAAAAUUUCCAUCGACAGCAGUAGCAAGAGUUUUGCUAAGAAACAGGUGGAUCUCAUUUGCCCAGGGAAAACGUGUGGUACUCGAAGAUACCGAGAAGAUGGCCAGUGUCAGCGCCAAUGUCUUUGUUAAUUGUUUCAUAUCAGAGAUGGUCCUGUCUGUGCAGCCUGUCUUACCAGCUGCUUCACCAAAACGUGGUCUUCCUUGGGAUAAUGAGCCAGGGACAAUUUGUUGGAAGCUGAAAUACUUGGAAGCCUGUCUGCUUUGAAGAUGUGAAGCAGCAUUCGAACCACAGAGCUGAGCAGGGAUUCUAUGGGCAAGCUACUCCAGUAUCCGAGAUUUUGUAUCAGCUCCGGUAUCAAUUCCAGGAUCCUCAUCUUCUGGCCUUGUCUGCUCAACAGAGAAAUGCUUGCUGCAUGUCUCCUUCUGGCUCAGUGCAAGACCCCAGCUACCAGGACAUCAUCACCACAGGCACGAUGGGCUA